rnacentral:rRNA from 1 species
GACGAACGCUGGCGGCGUGCUUAACACAUGCAAGUCGAGCGAUGAAGUUUCUUCGGAAAUGGAUUAGCGGCGAACGGGUGAGGAACACGUGAAGAAUCUGCCCUCCACUUCGGGAUAACACCGGGAAACCGGUGCUAAUACUGAAUAUUGAAACAUAAGUGGCAUCACUGAGUUUUGAAAGAAUUUCGGUGGAGGAUGACUUCGCGGCCUAUCAGCCAGUUGGUGAGGUAAUGGCUCACCAAGGCAACGACGGGUAGCCGGCCUGAGAGGGCGAGCGGCCACACUGGGACUGAGACACGGCCCAGACGCCUACGGGAGGCAGCAGUGGGGAAUAUUGGGCAAUGGAGGAACCUCUGACCCAGCGACGCCGCGUGCGGGAUGAAGGCCUUCGGGUGGUAAACCGCUUUCAGUAGGGAAGAAGCGAAAGUGGCGGUACCUACAAAAGAAGCACCGGCUAACUAUGUGCCAGCCGCCGCCGUAA